rnacentral:rRNA from 1 species
AACGAACGCUGGCGGCAUGCCUAACACAUGCAAGUCGAACGAGACCUUCGGGUCUAGUGGCGCACGGGUGCGUAACGCGUGGGAACCUGCCCUUAGGUGCGGAAUAACUCCCCGAAAGGGGUGCUAAUACCGGAUAAUGUCUUCGGACCAAAGAGUUAUCGCCUUUGGAUGGGCCCGCGUUGGAUUAGCUAGUUGGUAGGGUAAAAGCCUACCAAGGCGACGAUCCAUAGCUGGUCUGAGAGGAUGAUCAGCCACACUGGGACUGGGACACGGCCCAGACUCCUACGGGAGGCAGCAGUGGGGAAUAUUGGACAAUGGGCGAAAGCCUGAUCCAGCAAUGCCGCGUGAGUGAUGAAGGCCUUAGGGUUGUAAAGCUCUUUUACCCGGGAUGAUAAUGACAGUACCGGGAGAAUAAGCUCCGGCUAACUCCGUG